rnacentral:lncRNA from 1 species
GGAAUGGUAGAUGAAGCCUAUGUAAUGCUAAUUGAGAUGGUGAGGAGCGGAUUUGAUGCUGAUUUAUCCAUUUGCAGCAAAAUAGAGGCUGCAUUAUUUAAGUUGAAUCGGUUUGAGGAGGCAAAACAGUUGGUGGAUAUUAUGUCAGUAAGAUGCAAAGAAAAGGAAUUGAGUUAGACCAGGUUAUUUUUAAUAUCUUGGUUGACGGAAAUUUCAGAAAGGGAAUGGUAGAUGAACCCUAUGUAAUGCUAAUUGAGAUGGUGAGGAGCGGAUUUGAUGCUGAUUUAUCCAUUUGCAGCAAAAUAGAGCCUGCAUUAUUUAAGUUGAAUCGGUUUGAGGAGGCAAAACAGUUGGUGGAUAUUAUGGUUAAAGGAGAUGGAAGUCUUGAAAAUUCAGCAACUUUAGUUGAAGAAAACUUGGUUUAAGGUGGCAAAGAAUCUGAAGGAAC